GGAUGUGAAGGUGAUCUGGCUGAGACAUCUGUCACCCCAUUGAUCACCAGUGUUGAUUUGGCUGAUCUGGCUGGCGAGGCGGGUGUCCCCUUCCUCCCUCACCGCUCCAUGUGAGUCCCUCCCAAAGCUGUGUGCUUGGUCGAGGAGGAUGACCAUCCCUGAUGGAGGAGGACCGGUCUUUGGUCAAGGGUGUACGAGUAGCUUUGCUCCCCUGCUAGAACCUCCAAACACACUCUCAAGAAUUAGAGUAAAAGCAGUGAGUCCAUUAAUGUGAACUUAAAGAAAAAUAUGAAAUACGGGUACAUGGUCUCAGGGUCUUC
rnacentral:snRNA from 1 species